UCAAUUAAAGUAGAGUAACGUAAGCCAAAUCCAAACGCUGCCUUAGAUUCCAAUUCACAGUUCAGUUCCGAUUCCAAUUCCAUGGCGACACCACCGUCUACCUCAGCUUCGCAAUCGCAAUUCGUCUAUUCCAACCCUUCCUACUUCCCCGUCCCCUUUCACCUACAGCAACCCGUAACCACUCACUACGCUGCGCCAUACGUCGCCGCUCCCUCCGUGCAACUCCCCGCACCUCCCGUCGUCGGCCCCGUUGCGUCCGCGCCGGUUCCCGCCGUAUACUCCGCCGUGCCGCAGUAUCAGGCACAGCAGUUAUUCGAGAGAGAUGCACAGAUAAUAACGCCGGAGGCUCUUGAGAAUGUUAAGGCAGCGAUUGCGAGCAGCGACGUCGAGCACAAAACUGAUGCAAAAAGGAAAGCGGUUCCUCGCAAAGCUGCAGGCCAAUCUUGGGAGGAUCCUAUCCUUGCAGAGUGGCCAGAAGAUGAUUAUCGGCUCUUCUGUGGUGAUCUUGGUAAUGAAGUGAAUGAUGAUGUUCUUUCAAAAGCAUUUUCACGAUUCCCUUCCUUUAACAUGGCACGGAUUUUUGUUUGAAGGAACAGAGUUGUUAAUGGUUUGUGUAUGUUAAGGUUUCACCUUGUUGUUGCUCCUCAUUCACAAAUCAAGGCAAUUGAAAUUAUAUACUGGUGAAAUGAUGCAUUUGAAUUUGAACAAUCAAUUUAUUUAAAAUUAGCACUGUUACUAUUACUUUUAAGUGUUAUCUCAAUCUCAAAAUGAGUUGGAGUUAGGUUGACCUUUGCUUGAGUAUUGGCUAACUGGUUUAAAUUUGGGAGAUUUGGCAGCAGGUUAAUUAGAAGAUGGAAUCUUUCAACUAGAUAUUGUUUGUUUUUCCUGUCCUGCUCUACUCAAUUCCUUAACCUACAUAGCAUUCUAACUAGAUUUUGUUUGUCAUGCUAAUUUGGAUUCUUUGAACAAUGUGUAAUGGUAAGUUUAGGUGUGGAUGAAAAUGAUGGACUACUAAAGGGACUUUGAAAUUUGGCAUGGAAAAGUUCCUACACGAGAGGGAGGGCAGGGAGAGACUCAGUUCUUUUGCAUGUCUGCCAGAGACGACAGUGUAUUUUUAAUUCACUCUGGGAUGAGUGGUAAUAGUGGUUAUUGAAAAUAUGAACUGGAAAAUUAAUAAUAGCUUUGUCUAUUAAGUAUUAACUAAUUAUUGCACCUACUAUAAUUUUUGUGCAAAAUGAAUAAUCUAGAUAUUAUAUUAAAUUUGUGGAAAUUAGAAGCUAAUCCAGCAUGUAUUUUGGGGUUGCUUUUUGUAUGUAGAUUUUUUACAGAAUAAAUAUGUAUUUAAUAGUUCUCAAUGAGACUGAUAAAUUUGUUUUAUGCUUUGUUGCUGAAAAUUUGAGGACAUGUUAUUCAAGAGUGGAGACAUUUAAUUUCAUCUAAAGAACUUUAGGUUUUUAGUCAUCUGUUUGUAUUUUGUAAUUGCCUUAUCUCUAAGCAAACUUAACAUUUAUUAUUUAAAUUUUAUGGUGCAUGUAUUUUCUUGUAAUUUGUUAUAAUUAAGGUAUGUUUGAUCUUGUCUAGGUUGUCAGAGAUAAGCGGACUGGUAAAACAAAAGGUUAUGGAUUUGUGAGCUUUGCCAAUCCUUCUGACGUUGCUGCUGCUCUUAAAGAAAUGAAUGGUAAGUAUGUUGGAAAUCGUCCAAUAAAACUACGCAAGAGUAAGUGGAAGGAGAGAACAGAUUAUGAAGCACUGGAGAAACAGAAGAAUCACAUUCAAAAGAAACCGAAAAUGCCAAGGAAAGGUGUGCUGCACAAGUGACAGGCCAGAAUUUGUGUAAAUCAGGUUACUAACUUAACCAAGUAGAACACCGUUUUGAAAAUGCUAUUUCUUUUUUCAUCUGAAAUGUAUCUCCCGUGUAAGCAGAAAAGAGGCCUCACCUUCAGAUACUUAUUUCGGUGGAACUGUUUGCAAAAUACCAUAUUUGUUAAUGUAUGGCCACUACCAAAAAAAAAAAGCUCAUUUUUUAUGUUUACAUUUCA